GGGGACUUCUGUUGACGGGCGUCCCCUGACCCCUUGUGCCGACCGCUAGUAGCUUAAGCGCUAACUACGAUAGCACGCGCUUAAUCGCUAGCUCUGUUUGGAGCUAGCGCGUUAGCGUGUGUAAACUCACUGUGUUGGCUUACAAUUCUUUCUAUUUAACGCAUAGGCUUCGGACAAGCGUGGGAAUCUUUACACCGCUGUCUACUGUCUUCGUUACACCCCCUCCGAAAAAAAAAAAAAGCGAGUGUGUCGUGUUAUGGAGGUGCCGGGAGUUAAACCCGGAUCCAGCAGAUUAUUGCAUUGCCACUUGUUUAUUGUCAUAGCUAAAUUAGC
rnacentral:tmRNA from 1 species